rnacentral:rRNA from 1 species
AGGGUUUGAUCCUGGCUCAGAUUGAACGCUGGCGGCAUGCCUUACACAUGCAAGUCGAACGGCAGCACGGGAGCAAUCCUGGUGGCGAGUGGCGAACGGGUGAGUAAUAUAUCGGAACGUGCCCAGUCGUGGGGGAUAACGUAGCGAAAGCUACGCUAAUACCGCAUACGAUCUACGGAUGAAAGCGGGGGAUCGCAAGACCUCGCGCGAUUGGAGCGGCCGAUAUCAGAUUAGCUAGUUGGUGGGGUAAAAGCCCACCAAGGCGACGAUCUGUAGCUGGUCUGAGAGGACGACCAGCCACACUGGAACUGAGACACGGUCCAGACUCCUACGGGAGGCAGCAGUGGGGAAUUUUGGACAAUGGGCGCAAGCCUGAUCCAGCAAUGCCGCGUGCAGGAUGAAGGCCUUCGGGUUGUAAACUGCUUUUGUACGGAACGAAACGGUCUCUUCUAAUAAAGGGGGCUAAUGACGGUACCGUAAGAAUAAGCACCGGCUAACUACGUGCCAGCAGCCGCGGUAAUACGUAGGGUGCGAGCGUUAAUCGGAAUUACUGGGCGUAAAGCGUGCGCAGGCGGUUAUAUAAGACAGAUGUGAAAUCCCCGGGCUCAACCUGGGACCUGCAUUUGUGACUGUAUAGCUAGAGUACGGUAGAGGGGGAUGGAAUUCCGCGUGUAGCAGUGAAAUGCGUAGAUAUCAGAAGGAACAUCAAUGGCGAAGGCAGCUUUCUGGACCAAUACUGACGCUGAGGUACGAAAGCGUGGGUAGCAAACAGGAUUAGAUACCCUGGUAGUCCACGCCGUAAACGAUGAUAACUAGCCGUUGGGGGGAUUUACCCUUUAGUGGCGAAGCUAACGCGUUAAGUUAUCCGCCUGGGGAGUACGGCCGCAAGGUUAAAACUCAAAGGAAUUGACGGGGACCCGCACAAGCGGUGGAGCAUGUGGUUUAAUUCGAUGCAACGCGAAGAACCUUACCUGGUCUUGACAUCCUGCGAACUUUCUAGAAAUAGAUUGGUGCCUUCGGGAACGCAGUGACAGGUGCUGCAUGGCUGUCGUCAGCUCGUGUCGUGAGAUGUUGGGUUAAGUCCCGUAACGAGCGCAACCCCUAUCCUUAUUUGCCAGCACAUCAUGGUGGGAACUAUAAGGAGACUGCCGGUGAUAAACCGGAGGAAGGCGGGGACGACGUCAAGUCAUCAUGGCCCUUACGACCAGGGCUACACACGUGCUACAAUGGGAAGGACAAAGAGCCGCGAAGCCGCGAGGUGUAGCUAAUCUCAUAAACCUUUUCGUAGUCCGGAUUGGAGUCUGCAACUCGACUCCAUGAAGUCGGAAUCGCUAGUAAUCGUAGAUCAGAAUGCUACGGUGAAUACGUUCCCGGGUCUUGUACACACCGCCCGUCAUACCAUGGGAGUGGGUUGCACCAGAAGUGGCUAGUCUAACUUAGUGAGGACGGUCACCACGGUGUGAUUCAUGACUGGGGUAAAGUCGUAACAAGGUAACCGUA